AUGAACGCUGGCGGCGUGCCUCAUCCCUGCAAGUCGAGCGCACGGACGAGAAGCUUGCUUCUCUGAUGUUAGCGGCGGACGGGUGAGUAACACGUGGAUAACCUACCUAUAAGACUGGGAUAACUUCGGGAAACCGGAGCUAAUACCGGAUAAUAUUUUGAACCGCAUGGUUCAAAAGUAAAAGACGGUCUCGCUGUCACUUAUAGAUGGAUCCGCGCUGCAUUAGCUAGUUGGUAAGGUAACGGCUUACCAAGGCAACGAUGCAUAGCCGACCUGAGAGGGUGAUCGGCCACACUGGAACUGAGACACGGUCCAGACUACUACGGGAGGCAGCAGUAGGGAAUCUUCCGCAAUGGGCGAAAGCCUGACGGAGCAACGCCGCGUGAGUGAUGAAGGUCUUCGGAUCGUAAAACUCUGUUAUUAGGGAAGAACAUAUGUGUAAGUAACUGUGCACAUCUUGACGGUACCUAAUCAGAAAGCCACGGCUAACUACGUG
rnacentral:rRNA from 1 species